rnacentral:rRNA from 1 species
UAGGGAAUCUUCGGCAAUGGACGAAAGUCUGACCGAGCAACGCCGCGUGAGUGAAGAAGGUUUUCGGAUCGUAAAACUCUGUUGUUAGAGAAGAACAAGGACGUUAGUAACUGAACGUCCCCUGACGGUAUCUAACCAGAAAGCCACGGCUAACUACGUGCCAGCAGCCGCGGUAAUACGUAGGUGGCAAGCGUUGUCCGGAUUUAUUGGGCGUAAAGCGAGCGCAGGCGGUUUCUUAAGUCUGAUGUGAAAGCCCCCGGCUCAACCGGGGAGGGUCAUUGGAAACUGGGAGACUUGAGUGCAGAAGAGGAGAGUGGAAUUCCAUGUGUAGCGGUGAAAUGCGUAGAUAUAUGGGGGAACACCAGGGGCGAAGGCGGCUCUCUGGUCUGUAACUGACGCUGAGGCUCGAAAGCGUGGGGAGCAAACAGG